rnacentral:rRNA from 1 species
GAUGAACGCUGGCGGCGUGCUUAACACAUGCAAGUCGAACGAAGCAUUUAGGACAGAUUACUUCGGUUUGAAGUUCUUUAUGACUGAGUGGCGGACGGGUGAGUAACGCGUGGGUAACCUGCCUUGUACUGGGGGAUAGCAGCUGGAAACGGCUGGUAAUACCGCAUAAGCGCACAAUGUUGCAUGACAUGGUGUGAAAAACUCCGGUGGUAUAAGAUGGACCCGCGUCUGAUUAGCUAGUUGGUGAGAUAACAGCCCACCAAGGCGACGAUCAGUAGCCGACCUGAGAGGGUGACCGGCCACAUUGGGACUGAGACACGGCCCAGACUCCUACGGGAGUCAGCAGUGGGGAAUAUUGCACAAUGGAGGAAACUCUGAUGCAGCGACGCCGCGUGAGUGGAGAAGUAAUUCGUUAUGUAAAGCUCUAUCAGAAGGGAAGAUAGUGACGGUACCUGACUAAGAAACACCGGCUAAAUACGUG